GCACAAGCGGUGGAGCAUGUGGUUUAAUUCGACGCAACGCGAAGAACCUUACCUAGGCUUGACAUGCAUGGGAAAGCCCUGAGAAACCAGGGCCCCUCUUCGGAGUCCAUGCACAGGUGCUGCAUGGCUGUCGUCAGCUCGUGUCGUGAGAUGUUGGGUUAAGUCCCGCAACGAGCGCAACCCCCGUUUCUAGUUGCCAGCGGGUAAUGCCGGGAACUCUAGAAAGACUGCCGGUGCCAAACCGGAGGAAGGUGGGGAUGACGUCAAGUCAUCAUGGUCCUUACGUCUAGGGCUACACACGUGCUACAAUGGCCGGUACAGAGGGUUGCGAGCUCGCGAGAGCAAGCCAAUCCCAGAAAGCCGGCCUCAGUGCGGAUUGGAGGCUGCAACUCGCCUCCAUGAAGCUGGAAUCGCUAGUAAUCGUGGAUCAGCUACGCCACGGUGAAUACGUUCCCGGGC
rnacentral:rRNA from 1 species